UUAAGUUAGAAAGAGCGCAGGGUGGAUGCCUUGGCACUGAGAGCCGAUGAAAGACGUGAUAAGCUGCGAUAAGCUGCGGCAAGAAGCAAAUAUUCAAUGAACCGCAGAUUUCUGAAUGGGGAAACCUGGCUGAGCAAACCUCAGUCGUCCUAUACUGAAUACAUAGGUAUAGGUCGGGAACCUCCUGAACUGAAACAUCUAAGUAGGGAGAGGAAGAGAAAGAAACAUCGAUUCUGUUAGUAGCGGCGAGCGAAAGCGGAAGAGCCCAAACCGGAGUGCGUGCACUCCGGGGUAUGGACUGCAACAUGGCAGUGUGAUUGAUAGCAGAAGGGUCUGGGAAGUCCCGCCAAAGAGAGUGAAAGCCUCGUAUGCGAAAUCAUGAGCGCGCCUAGCAGAAUCCGGAGUACCACGAGACACGAGAAACCUUGUGGGAAGGCGGAGGGACCACCCUCCAAGGCUAAAUACUACUCAGUGACCGAUAGCGCAUAGUACUGUGAAGGAAAGGUGAAAAGGACCCCGGGAGGGGAGUGAAAGAGAACCUGAAACCCUGUGUUUACAAGCUGUGGAACUACGUUAAGGUAGGACCGCGUACUUUUUGUAGAACGGUCCGGCGAGUUUCUUGUACCGGCAAGGUUAAGCACUUAAGGUGCGGAGCCGAAGUGAAAGCAAGUGUUAAUAGCACGCAUAAGUCAGUACAAGAAGACCCGAAACCGGGUGAUCUACCCAUGUCCAGGUUGAAGUCGCCGUAAAAGGCGAUGGAGGACCGAACGCACAUCCGUUGAAAAGGGUGGCGAUGAGGUGUGGGUAGGGGAGAAAUUCCAAUCGAACCCGGAGAUAGCUGGUUCUCCUCGAAAUAGCUUUAGGGCUAGCCUCGUAUUAGUCUUGCGGAGGUAGAGCACUGAAUAUCCUAGGGGGCGUCAAAGCUUACCGAAGAUUAUCAAACUCCGAAUGCCGCGUAGAUGAUGUACGGGAGUCAGACUGCACGAGAUAAGUUGGGUAGUCAAAAGGGAAAGAGCCCAGACCACCAGCUAAGGUCCCAAAGUGCGUGUUAAGUGGUAAAGGAUGUGGGAUUUCGAAGACAACUAGGAUGUUGGCUCAGAAGCAGCCAUACAUUCAAAGAGUGCGUAAUAGCUCACUAGUCGAGAGGUCCUGCGCCGAAAAUGUCCGGGGCUAAAACACGACACCGAAGCUGUGGAUCCGAAAGGAUGGUAGAGGAGCAUUCUUAAGUCGAUGAAGCUGUACUGUAAGGAGCAGUGGAGAGUUAAGAAGAGAGAAUGCCGGAAUGAGUAGCGAGAUUUAAGUGAGAAUCUUAAAGGCCGAAUAUCUAAGGUUUCCAGGGUAAAGCUGAUCUUCCCUGGGUAAGUCGGGGCCUAAGGCGAGGGCGAGAGCCGUAGUCGAUGGAUAACAGGUUGAAAUUCCUGUACUGCUUAUGGACAGAACUGUGGGGACGCAGAAGGAGAGCACGAGCCGGAAAUGGAAAAGCCGGUACAAGCGUAUAGCAGUCAUGCAGGCAAAACCGCAUGAAAAAUGUAAAGCGUUAUGUGGAUCGAACAUUAGUAGAGAAGCGUGUGAGCCAGCUGCCAAGAAAAGCCGCUAUUGCUUCAUAAGUACCCGUACCGUAAACCGACACAGGUGGAUGAGGAGAGAAUCCUAAGGCCGGCGGGAGAAGUGUUGUUAAGGAACUCGGCAAAAUGACUCCGUAACUUCGGGAGAAGGAGUGCCACAGAGAUGUGGCCGCAGAGAAAUGGCCCAAGCAACUGUUUAGCAAAAACACAGGUCUAUGCAAAACCGAAAGGUGAGGUAUAUGGGCUGACGCCUGCCCGGUGCUGGAAGGUUAAGAGGAGAGGUUAGAGCAAUCGAAGCUUUGAAUUUAAGCCCCAGUAAACGGCGGCCGUAACUAUAACGGUCCUAAGGUAGCGAAAUUCCUUGUCGGGUAAGUUCCGACCCGC
rnacentral:rRNA from 1 species